rnacentral:rRNA from 1 species
UCAGGACGAACGCUGGCGGCCGUGCCUAACACAUGCAAGUCGAGCGAGGAGAGUCCUUCGGGAUGAUCCUAGCGGCGGACGGGUGAGUAACACGUGGGCGAACCUGCCUCAUAGAGAGGAAUAGCCUUCCGAAAGGGAGAUUAAUACCUCAUAACAUUGCAGUUUCGCAUGGAACAAGCAAUUAAAGGAGUAAUCCGCUAUGAGAUGGGCCCGCGGCGCAUUAGCUAGUUGGUGAGGUAACGGCUCACCCAAGGCGACGAUGCGUAGCCGACCUGAGAGGGUGAUCGGCCACAUUGGGACUGAGACACGGCCCAGACUCCUACGGGAGGCAGCAGUGGGGAAUAUUGCACAAUGGGGGAAACCCUGAUGCCAGCAACGCCGCGUGAGUGAUGACGGCCUUCGGGUUGUAAAAGCUCUGUCUUCAGGGACGAUAAUGACGGUACCUGAGGAGGAAGCCACGGCUAACUACGUGCCAGCCGCCGC